UGGAGGAGGGUAAAGACAGGAGAGAGAAGGGAACGGGCGUUGUCGUGGGUAUAAGCCUGACAGUAGAUGUGUAGGAUACGAAAAGGAUGGGCAGAGUCCUAGCUACGGCGAGGAUGUAUGAGUUCAGGCCCCUCUGCGAUGGAGGUAAUAGCCCUACGUCUCAGUUCUCAGGGAGCUUUGUUGUCGAGUGGAAUCAGGAAUACAAUGAGUUGCUAACCUCUUUACCAGUGGGGGAGGGUGGCUUAUAUAGAGUGCGCUGCCCUCCACAACGGUUCCGAUACAGGGGUGGAGUAGUGGCGAUUGAAUGUGUACGUUACAGGUAACCUACGCCCUAAAUGCCAAUAAAUGCACCUGGAAACGUACGACCGUUUCCCUCCAGGGGGUUACGAUGUACCGAGUGGUAUACAGUCGGUUAGCCUGAUAUGCUCCGAAUGCUAGUCUCCGACUGGACGAUCGAGAGUAAAUUACCGACUGGAUGACAGGGAUUCCUUAAUUCAGUCGGAGCUGACUAGGGGUCUAGUCCUUUGCGAGGGGUGGUCCUUGGAUAAGACCUACAGGGCAGGCCUAUGACCCUACCCUAGUACUAUAACCCCAUCAGGCGCUUCACUAGUCGCCCGGCUGCAGCACAAGACCCGAGAAAGUUUAGCCCACUUGGAGCUCGAAGCCGGCGACAGGGCCACUGCUCCCAAUCCCCUGCGUCUCACCAUCCAAUCAACUGCUUUUUUCCUUUCUUACCAUGCAUGCGAACAUUGAUUGCCCUGGCCUCAACAGCUCAUAUAAAGCCAACCUUAUUACACCAGACUUCUUCUACGAAGGCUAUUGUUGACAUGGCACCGAUAUACAGCCGGUAGCCGGCGUUUCUAUUAACCAUGCUCUUAGGGUCCAAAUUCAGCACCAGUCUUCAUUAAAUUUUCAUUAAGCUGGGUGGGCCAUGUCUGGUUUUGCCCAGCCAUAGCUCCGCCAUUGCUCCCUAAUUAAUACAAUGCUCGUAGUAACCUUACCAUGAUCACGAAAACAAUUUCGAAAAUCCUGACAACGCUGCCGUCAUCAUAGAAUGCUCGUCAUUUGAAUUUAAAGCUUGUACCACAAUGGGGUUACUUAAACUCACCAUUAGAUUGUUACAUCCACUGAUGUGUGCAAGUUUGAAACCUUCUAGAAACGUCGCGGCCUCGGUUGAGACUACACCCGCUACAUGUUCAAGUUUUGCGGUAGAAGCUGAGAUUCCGAAUGAUAUAUAGCUCUACAUGAACCAGAAUAAUUUUUCGUGCUUGCAUACUAAUUUUACAUCAUCAAAGAAUUAGCCAUGGACGGGGUGCGUGGAAGCUUGCUAUUCAUGUGCCAGAACCAUGAGUUGGUCGCGAGAUCUUAUGGGUUUCACCUCUAGCCUAUUUCAACGUGUUUGGGACUAAAGACUUUGUCGUCGUCGUUGUUGUUGUUGCUGCAUACUAACUUUGCAUCCCGGCGCCAAUAUAAAUUGUCAUAAAAAUUGUUUAAUUUGCCAUGUUUAAAAUUUGACGUAAGAUUCUUAGUCUUAUCGCCCUUUCAUGUGCAGGUGGAAAUGCAGUGAAAAUAGCAGUGCCGGUGGCAGCAUGUGUGCUGGUGCUCACAUGCAUUUUCUUUGCAUGGUUCUGGAGAUUCAGAGGUAUAGUUAUACUUUUAGCUCUAAACAUGUCAUACUAAAUCAUUCUUAGACAAAAUGCUCACAGCAUCAAUUUUACAGGCAAUUUUACAGACAAGAGGAGGAAAACCGAGAGCCAGAAGAAGCUAAUGACUGGCAGCGCGAACACCCCGAGCGAAGUCGGCGAAGGAGAUCACACUGGUGACCUUGAGUUCCCCUCCUUACGGUUCGCCGACAUCGUCGCUGCCACGGGCAAUUUCUCCAAGACAUUCAUGAUCGGGCGCGGAGGCUUCGGCAAUGUUUACAAGGUAUACUAACUUUUACCUCUCUUUCAGUCCUUCGGCAAGGUUUUCAAGGUAUCCUGUUUUGUGAGUUUAACACAAAAUUCACUUUUUUGUUUUACAAUUCGGAAGGGAACAUUAGACGGUGGACAUGUGGUCGCCGUGAAGAGGCUGAGCAAGGAUUCAGAUCAGGGAGCAGAGGAGUUCAAGAACGAGGCGAUCCUCAUCGCCAAGCUGCAGCACCGGAACCUGGUGCGCCUCCUCGGCUGCUGCACCGAGGGGGCGGAGAAGCUGCUCAUCUACGAGUACCUGCCCAACAAGGGCCUCGACGCCAUCCUCUUCGGUACAUACCAUAUGUUCAUUACAACUGAAAGUACAUAAUCUUUUUUACGAGUGAAAUACACCGUUAGUCCAUUGACUCAAAGAGUUCGUACAGUUUAUUAGGUAAGAACAGGCAAAAACUCAGGAAAUCAUCAAUUUACUCAUUAAUUUAACUAGUUUAAGUAAUCAGAUUAAGGACAAAAACGAUUCACCUUGUUUAAAGAAAUUCGAUUCACCCCCGAAAAACCACACACGUGGCUGCCAUAUCAUUGUACAUGUGUUCUAAAUAAGUUUAAUAACUAAAUUAAUCACUUCGUGAGUUUUUGGCCUAAACGGUACAAUUACAAACAAUUUAACUUAGAGCAUCUCCAACAGGCGCCCAAAAAAGCUUCACGCGUUAAAAGUUUAUUUUUUGGGCGCCGAACAGUUCCAACAGAUGCUGUAAUAUACUGCACGCGUUAAAAAGAUUUGGGCACGCGCUGAAAAACGCUAUCGCGCACAGCAUAUUUAGACGCCGGAUUGUGCGCCCUUUAUAAUUUGCACUGCGUGUUUUUUUUGUGCGUGUUUUUGCGCGUCUGCUAAAGCAAUGUUAGUCCUGACGCAUUAAAAGUGAUACAGCGCUAUAACUUUUAUUAGACGCGAAAUUUUUGUGCGGGUGUUGAAGAUGUUCUUAAUGGACGCAAUUCAUCUCUACUGAUUUUCAUUAUAGAAAACCAAUGGCUUAACUACUAAAAGAAGAAAAGAAAGAAGGACCACCAGACCCAAAUCCUUCACAGAGUGGGAGGGGCAGCAUCCCAAACUAAACCUGGGCAUAUCCCGGGCCAGGCUUUAGAAAACCCAAACUGAAAAUCUCAAGCCCGAGCCCGGUCCGAUCCGGUCAAAAAAACCAAUUUUCAGCCACCGAGCACGGCCCAAAUGGAUUAAAAAGAUGAAUUCCGGGUCGCGCCUGGACGGGUCGGGUCUCCGUGUAAAAUGAUGAUUUUCCAAAGCCCGAGCCCAUCCCAAACUAUUGCCCGAGCCUAGUUUCCAAGCUUGAACCCUUCCCAAACAUAAAGCCCGCUCCGGCCCGGCCCGGGUUUUUCGGGUCGGGUCACCGGGCAAUGAUCGGGCUGCCCAUGCCCAAGUUUAUCCCAAAUCAUGCAUAACUUCUUUUCUUCACCACCUCAACUUUGAAUAGCCCCCUCAACAAUCUUAAUGAAGCUCCGUUACUGCCCACCGGGACCAAAUUUUUGUCAUGCUUGGGGAAGGUUUUAAUCCAUCUAGAGAAACAAUCAUUUAAAUACACAGAAUAAAACAAACAUCAAAUGCACAUUUUAGUAAAUUCCACACCAAUUUAGCAUUAGAGUAGUUGAAAAACAUAUGAGCAAUGGUUUCCCCUGGCCAUUGAAGGCGCAUCCUUUCUCUCUUUUCCAUCUUCUUUUUAACAUGUUAUCUUCGGCCGGUAUACUUUUUCUGUUUACUAAGCAAACGUAAACUUGAUUUUACGAACAAUUUUAAUUUUCCACAAAAAAUUUCGUGGAAAUCCACAUCAGUCAACACCCACUUAAUUUGACCCUUCCGUCCAUACAUUUGGAUCUCCUCACAUCUGGCUUCCAAACUUUCCCAAAGAGUUAGGCUCUCUCUCGAGUCCCCGCAGAGUUCUUCAAAAGGAGAUAUCAUCACACCCCUUCUCAAUAGCAUCAGCUACCGAGAUAUCAUGGUUAAAGCUGACCAAGUAUAAUCUUGGAUAGGCUUCUUCUAGGCCUUGUUCGGUUGCCGUGGUUAGAUUCCACGAGUGAUUUCUAACCUCCUAGGGAUUAGGUGAUCUCCUACUUGUCACCCAAUCACCGCUAUUCCUCAUCCACAUGAAUCCUUCUGACCAAAACAUGUUCAGUUACUCCCUUUUCUAAUCCAUCCAUAUGAAUCAUUGCCCCUGUCAACGUCAGGUCAGAAUCGGUAGAGGAGAACGGGAAGAAGAGGAGAGGACAAGAAGGAGACGAGGCUUACCUGAUAGGAGAGCAAGGAGGGGUGGGGAAGUAUGUCGCCAUCAUCGCCUCCGGAUGGCCGCGCCGUCGCCGCCAAAUCGCGGGAGAGAGAGAGAGAGAGCCCGGGGAGACAUGGCUCGAUUUUUUUUCUUCCGACAUACAGAUUCGCCCAUCGGGAGGGAUUGGUUCCACGAGUAGAGAUGCGAGGAUUUUAUCCCAGACAGUUCCACGUGGUUUGAGAGGGAUUGGGCGGGGGUGUAGCCCCGACCGGGUUUAAUCCAACAAGCUCGUAAGCAGGCUGGGGUCGGAUCCCGGCCGGGCCGAAACCACGGGGUUCGGCGGGGAUUGGACACCAAUCCCGGCGGGGGAGGGGCUAACCGAACAAGGCCUUAGGGGUUUAUCAUCCAUCCAUCAAUCUUCCCAAAACCUAGUAUUUUUUUCAUCACCUAAUUUUUUCUUUACAUUGCUGAUAAAAGCAAUAUUUCAAUUCCAAAAUACUGGACCAGAAGUGAGAGUCACCCACUUCAGGUUUUAUACCAGAUAGACAAUUAUCUUUCACAUAUUUGUUAAUGAGGACUUCCCAGUUCCCACCAUAAUCCAUUUUCAGUUUCCAGUCUCCAAAACCACUUGGCUAGUAGGGAUUUGUUCAUUAAUUCUAGAUUUAUACUUGCUGCAGAUAGUGCGAGGAAAUCGGUGCUGGAUUGGUCGACACGGCUGGGGAUCAUCAAGGGCGUGGCAAGGGGGCUGCUCUACCUGCAUCAGGACUCAAGGCUGACGGUGAUACACAGGGACCUCAAGGCCAGCAACGUGCUGCUGGACGCCGAGAUGAGGCCCAAGAUCGCCGACUUCGGCAUGGCCAAGAUCUUCGGCGACAACCAGGUGAAAGCCAACAGCAAGCGCGUCGUCGGCACAUAGUGAGUAAUUUGAACACUUUACUGAAUUUACAGAGAGAAAAGGAAUUUUUUUGUGUUAAGUUGGUACAUAGCAUUUGACGAAAAUAAAGUGUGACAGCUCUUCUAACAAAAAAUGUGUGUGCCGACAGUGGCUACAUUGCUCCCGAGUACUCGACGGAGGGCGUCUUCUCCGUCAAAUCCGACGUGUACAGCUUCGGCGUGCUGCUGCUGGAGAUCGUUAGCGGCGUUAGGAUAAGCACAACCAGUGGCAUCAUGGAGUUUCCUAGCCUGAUAGUCUAUGUAAGCACCUGCAUUUACAAUUUUCUUCAGUACAGUCCUCUUUCUUGUGAUCGAAUCCGUAUUUGUAAUAGCAAGAAAAGGAACAAUUCAUGGUUGGUUUGAUUGUUUCAUGUAGGCAUGGCACCUGUGGAGGGAAGGGAAGGCAGGCAAGCUGGUGGAUCCGUCCAUGGCAGAGAGCUGUCUACAGGACGAGGCAUUGCUCUGCAUCCACGUCGGGCUCCUCUGCGUGGAGGACGACCCGAGCAGGAGGCCGCUCAUGUCGUCCGUCGUGUCCAUCUUGGAGAACGGAAGCGCGUCGGUGGUGCUGGCAUCGGCGUCUCUUCCGGAGCCGAACAAGCCAGGGUACGUCGGAAUGAUGGAAGAGAAGACCCAGAGAAGCGAUCUCGAGAACAGCAGGAACACCAUUGCCAUGACCGUUCUGCAAGGCCGGUAGCACAGUAGGGACUGCAACUUUCUUCUUCAGAAGGAAAGGUGCACUUAGUUCUAGCGUUUCAUUUUCUUUUCUUUUUUACCGUGGGAAAAAACGGAUUUGUAGAGCAUUUUUUACUGGUACAAAUGAAAUAUGUAUUUACAGGAGCGUUGAGUUGAUUUGAUGUGUCUUGAAAUGGAUGGUAUUGGUAUGAAUGUCUUGCUGGAUUUGAAUACUUUAGCUACUUGGAUGGACUUCCAGAAAAAAUUUCAGAGAGCUUCUGUAUUUGACAUUCAGAGGUUGAGAGAAACAAGUAAUUAAGCGGAAGAAGAAAGAUGCCUUGAUUAAUCUGAAAAAUAACCAGAUAUUACACAAACACCAUCUUUUUAGUGUACACACACCAACUCAUCAUCUCGACUCGCCCUCACAUGCAAAAUCUAUCAGUCCGGAAAGACAUGCAGCACAGCAGCAUCCAUCAGCAAUGAAGUUGUCGGCCAAGCGCGCGCGCGCGCGCUAGAGGUUGAGCUGACUGAGCUCACUUGCCGGGAACGAAGUUGGUGGCGAAAGCCCAGGCGUUGUUGUUGACGGGGUCGGCGAGGUGGUCGGCGAGGUUCUCGAGGGGGCCCUUGCCGGUGACGAUGGCCUGGACGAAGAAGCCGAACAUGGAGAACAUGGCGAGGCGGCCGUUCUUGAUCUCCUUCACCUUGAGCUCGGCGAAGGCCUCGGGGUCCUCGGCGAGGCCCAGGGGGUCGAAGCUGCCGCCGGGGUAGAGCGGGUCGACUAUCUCGCCGAGCGGGCCGCCGGCGACGCGGUAGCCCUCGACGGCGCCCAUGAGCACCACCUGGCAGGCCCAGAUGGCGAGGAUGCUCUGGGCGUGGACGAGGCUGGGGUUGCCGAGGUAGUCGAGGCCGCCCUCGCUGAAGAUCUGGGAGCCGGCCUUGAACCACACGGCCUCGCCGAACUUGACGCCGUUGCGGGCGAGCAGCUCGGGGAAGACGCAGCCGAGCGCGCCGAGCAUGGCCCAGCGGCAGUGGAUGACCUCCAGCUCACGGUUCUUGGCGAAGGUCUCGGGGUCAGCGGACAGCCCCGCGGUGUCCCAGCCGUAGUCGCCGGGGAACUCGCCGGUGAGGUAGCUCGGGGGGUCGCCGGAGAGCGGGCCGAGGUAGAGCACGCGGUCGGAGCCGUACCACGGGCUGCUGGACGCCGCCACCUUGGGCUUGCCCGCCGUCUUGCGCAUGGUGAUGCGGCCCUCGCCGAAGGGCGCCGCCCUGGAGGCCUUCACCGGGGUGCCGGCCAUCGCCGGGGAGGAGAGCGCCAUGGUCGCCGCGGCCGCCAUCGCUCGCUGCGUGCUAGCUAGCUAGCCUUGCUUCGAGUGAGCUGAGGCUGGCAGUGACAGUAGGAGGCGCUGGUGGUCGUUGGUGGUGAGGAGUGAAGCGGGAGCGCGCCGGGUUUAAAUAGGAGGAGGGAGCGAUCGGGUCCUUAUCCCGGGGAAUCUUAUGCCGAGUCGCCAUUGGCGCGCGGGGCGCGAGGCGGGCGGAUGGGGCGGCUGAGGUGGCCGCGCGGUGGCCACGGGAGCGGCGGAGGUCGGGAUUUUUUGCGGGGUUGUGGUGGAUUUGGCGCGGUGGAGAUGAGCCGCGAGGGCGACGGUGGGUCGCGGCCGCAGCCCACAUGGCCGCGUGUGGGGCGGCUCGCCGAUGUGGCCGCGCGCUGGCCAGGGGAUCUCCUGCUCACCGCGCCGGGCGGAAGGGGACGGAGGGCGAUGAGUUUGGCCGUUGCGCGCGGUGCAUUCUGAGGCGUGCCGCUGGCCGGAGGACCCCGGGAAAGAGAUAUCUGCCGUUGGCAGGUUGUGCCGGCGACCUACGUGGCCGACAUCUACUGGUUUCACGACUUCACGAGGUGCCCAAUCGGAACGGGUUCAGGACUAGCUCGGAACUGCCGUUUUAUUUUUCGAUUUGCACAUGCAUCAUGUAAAGAUCCUCUGCAAUGGUUGAAGUUUAAAAACUUUUAUCUUUAAAACCGUUAAUUCAAUCGAUGAUCUCUUUUCAUCGUUGACUUUGUCACGACAAGAUCUUCGAAACUAGAUCUCAUGUUGACAUGUUUCGACAAACUUUUUUUUUCUUCCAUAAUUGCUACAUUUUUCCACUCACUUGCUAUAUUAUUAACCACUUACUUGCUCAAUAAAAAUAACUUAAUUGCCAUAUUUUUUUAUGUCGUUUCGUGCAAAGAUUAUCGAUGCUUAUAAAUGCAGUCCCCAAAAUGUUUUGAUGUGUUUGUCAUUUUUAUUCUACUAAGUUGUCAUGUGGUCUCAUAAAAGCUUGUAGGUGCUUAUAAAAUCACAGUUUCUACAUAUAUUUUUUGUGCUUGUCAUUUUAAUCCUACCUCGUUAUCAUAUUGUCCCAAACAACUUGUGAGUCAUUGUAAAAAAAAUAGUUGUUACGGUGUUUGCUGUAUUUAUCUUUUGAAUUCUAUGCUCAAUUGUUAUGUUUUGUGGUAAUAAAAGGACAUUUGAUUGUUUUAAAACGUAGUUGUGCUAGUGUUGUGUUGUGUCGGUCAGUUAAAUUCUAUUAAAAUGAUAUGCUUUUAUAUCAUGUAUAAUAAAAUAUGUUACAAGGCUUUUGUACGAAAUAAUAUUAAAAAGUGACAAUCAAGUUAUUUUUUUAGGCAAGUAAGUGGUUACUAAUAUGGCAAGUGGGUCAAAAAAUAUGGCAAGUAUGAACAGAAAAAAAAAGUUGACGAAACAUAUCGAUAUGGGAUCUAGUUUUGAAGAACUCGUCGCGAGAAAGCCAAUGAUGAAAACGGAUCAUCGAUUGAAUUAACGGUUUUGGAGAUAAAACUUUUUGAAUUUCAAACAUAAAAAAGAAUCGCGGGUUGUCCUCCCGCCGCACGGCAAAGCAGCGCUGCGCAUGCUAUCAAUUAGAUUUUUCCUUUAUUUUUUAUUUCUUACCGGCAAAACGAUCCGUAUGUUGAAACGGAAAAAAAAUCAUAAUCUUUAAUGAACAUGAACAUAUUUUCCUGCAUCAUCAAGAUAAAAAAAUAUCACUCUCAUUUUCAUGAAAUCGUGGAUAGUUUUUAAAAAUACAGAACAUAUUAAACUCAUGAACAUAUUUGCAAUCGGGAAUAUGUUUCAAAUUCACAGACGUUUUUACAGAUUUUUGAACAUUUUCAAAGAUCAUGAACAUGUUAUACUAUUUUCACACAUUUUUUAAAAUAUAGGAAAAAUAUUAAACAUUUUUCCUGAAUUGGCGAACAUUUUUCUAGAACCGAAGAUCACUUUUUUGGAAAUUUGUCGGCCAAUUUCUGAAAUUCACCAACAUUUUUUUGAUUUUAAAAUUAUUUUUUGAGUUCCAUGAUCAUUUUUUGAAUCAGCGAACAUUUUAUGAAUCAUAAACUAUUGUGUAAUUCACGAUCAGUUUUUGAAUUUUCUCGAUAUUUUUCAAUUUAAGAACAUUUUUUGAAUUGUAUUUUUUUCAAUUGAUUAUUUUGUUAACAUAUGAACGUUGAUAACAAAUCAUGAUUUUUUUUUGGAUUUUCCGAACCUUUGCUACCAAAAUUAUGAAAUUUUUAUGAAUAGGUGUUAUUUAAAAUUGCAAAUAUAUUUUUUAAUCCACAGACGUUUAGAAUUAUUAAACAUUCUAUUACUAAAAAUGUAUUUAAAAAAUUCGGAAUUUGUUUGAAGUCCUGAAUUAUUUAAACUAGAAAGAACAAAGACGGAAAAGGAAAACAAAAUUUAGAAAAUAGGACACCCAGAUAUGGAUCAGCCCAAACAAGUGCGACGUGUUUUCUUCCAGCACACAGAGCACAGUGUAAGAGGUUCCUACUUGAUGGGCCAGCCCAAACGGGGAUUCCCUUUGUGAAAUGUUUGUUAUCACUUGUGGCAACGCUAGGUAAUAUUUUACAACUUUAAAGGUAAUUUAUGUGAUGCACCUUAAGAAGCACUAAUGCCUUUAUUAAUAUAGGUAUAUAUAUAUGCAACAGACUGUUUACACGUGCAAUCAAGUUUUGCAAGUCUUGGGCCUAUAUAUAUAUAUAUAUAUAUAUAUAGGCCCAAGACUUGCAAAACUUGAUUGCACGUGUAAACAGUCUGUUGCAGUUACUUUGGUUGUAGCCUAGAGAUGUGAAAUGUUAUUUCAACCAACCAGAAGAGAGUGCUUGAUACUUGUGAUCUGCAUUGAGUUUUUUAUAAAGAGGAAUGGAUGAUGCAUCACAGUAUAAAUGGUAAAUUGUAAUGCGUGCUCAAGUUCCGCAACACACCCAAUACAAUGACAAAUUGCAUAGGCGAACUAGUUCGGCGAAGAGAUGUGAUACAAGUGUAGUAUGGAUAGUAUAAAUAUAUUUUUAUAAUCCGAAUAAGUAAAAAGAGCGAGGCAACAAGUAGUAAACAACGAGAAAAACGGUAUAUUAAUGUUGGAAUUAUGCCCUAGAGGCAAUAAUAAAUAUAGUUAUUAUUAUAAUUCCUGUAUCAAGAUAAUAGUUUAUUAUCCAUGCUAUAAUUGUAUUGAAUGAAGACUCAUUUACAUGUGUGGAUACAUAGACAAAACACCGUCCCUAGCAUGCCUCUAGUUGGCUAGCCAGUUGAUCGAUGAUAGUCAGUGUCUUCUGAUUAUGAACAAGGUGUUGUUGCUUGAUAACUGGAUCACGUCAUUGGGAGAAUCACGUGAUGGACUAGACCCAAACUAAUAGACGUAGCAUGUUGAUCGUGUCAUUUUGUUGCUACUGUUUUCUGCGUGUCAAGUAUUCAUUCCUAUGACCGUGAGAUCAUAUAACUCACUGACACCGGAGGAAUGCUUUGUGUGUACCAAACGUCGCAACGUAACUGGGUGACUAUAAAGAUGCUCUACAGGUANNNNNNNNNNNNNNNNNNNNNNNNNNNNNNNNNNNNNNNNNNNNNNNNNNNNNNNNNNNNNNNNNNNNNNNNNNNNNNNNNNNNNNNNNNNNNNNNNNNNUCCUCGCCUCUAGCUCGCGCACCCCUCGCCGGAGUCGGCACCAGAGAGCUUCACCCAGGAGCUCCUCCAUCGCCCCCCCCUGCACGCUUUCCCCCUGCCGAGCCCACCUCACCCCGCCACCACCUCCCCACCACUCGGCCCCCUCCUCCACCACCCCUCCACCCCGCUGCUGCUCCUCCCCAUCACCACUACCAGGCAGCCAGGAGCUUCCCCGUCGGCUCCCCCACAUGCAGGCUCCCUCCUCCCCCUUCGGCCCUCCCCCCAGGAGUCUCCACCGGCCCCUUCCCCACCCCUCGCCGGCCCCUACCCCACCCCACCGGAGCUCACCCCGUGCACCCCCUUCCCACCUCGGCCACAAUAGCCAGCCACGGGAGCAGCUCCAGCCACGGUAAGGCUCCACUCCCCCUCCUGUUUCUUUUUUGUUUUUAUGUAGUAGCCCUUAGAUCCAUAAUCUACGGUGUAGAUUAGGAAGUACUUACCCCUUCGGUUUUCUAAAAAGAACCGGUCCAUCAGUUAAGUGAACCGAAGCAUUUUCUUAUUUAGCGGCCAUCCGCUGUUUAGUCUAUGCAGCAAACACCCCUUAGCCAAUCAGGGACUGCCACGUAGUUAGUUAGCUUUUAUUCUGUUUUUUUUUCAGAUUUAGUUCAAAAACAGAAAGUUCCAAUCUUGUUUAGCCCAUAACUUUUGAUCCCGAAGUCCAAUGAUAGUGAUUCUUUUUCCAGUAGCUCACAAAGUUCCUGUAGUUUCUAAAAACAUAUAAUUUGUAUAUGUUUGAAAUUUUCGAAUAUAAGUUAGAUCAGAUUUAGUUUAAACAUUGUUUUGCCUAUUCCAGGAGUUUAAAAAUAUCUUUUAAUCUGAUUCCUUUUGGUACUGAUCACUAGUGAUCCUAUUUAUAAGUGGUAAAAAUUUCCAAUUUGUUUGAGUAUAUUAGCUCACUGUUUCUUGUGAAACAAUUUCUGUUUCAUCUCUUUUAGGAUUUCGGCUAAUUCCUUUUCUACUUUUGUUUUAAAAUAUUUUCUUUAUUAUUUCAGAAACAUUAUUGUUUUGUUUAUGUUAGUUAACAGUAGUUUUGGAACAAGUUUUUAUUUUAUUUUUAUUUGUUUUCAUGAAAUCAAUUCUAGUUCCUUAUUAACUUGCAAUUGGUUUCCGCACUGUUUCAAAUCCCGUUUGGGAAUACUUUCAAAAAGUUUUGUGAAAAAUACUUUAUUUUAUCUUAGUUAAACUUAUAUCUUAGUUCCUUGUUAUUAUUUUCUGUUAGACAAAAACUAGUUAGUGUUUGAUGUAGAAGAAGACUCCUAGUUUAGUAAAGUUUCUUUCGGAUUCUUAUUCGCUCUCUCUUUUGUUUUGAUUGCUAGAAUGAUUGCUAGUAUGAGUGCUUAUGUGAAUGAUAUGUUUGUUAUAUAGAUUCCCUCGGAGAGUGACGAGUAGUCUAUCAAGUUAUUUUCUCGAGAAAUUCUUCUUCGUCAACAUCACCAGGCAAGUCACUUUGAUCAUACUAUCACCUAUGUUUUAUGCAUCGUAGUUCUACCAUCCUAUGCCCAAAUUGCAUGCUGCUUAAGUACUUGGAAAUUUUAGUAUAGGUUGUAGUAUCAUGUGGUAGGCACCCAACAACCCCGAUACUUGGCCCCGGGACGACAAAUUUCAUAUUGCUAUGCUUGAGGAGACGGGAUUUCGGUUGAGUGCAUAACACAAGUGAUGCGAGGUUGAUUAAAUAAUCAAGACCGGUUAAGACAAGAUUUUCAAGAUCUUGGACACAAUGCAACUCUGGGUGAAGGACGGUUGAUCGGCUCCCUGGAGAACCCAGUGGAUGACCCGGGAUGCUGGAGAGGCCAUGACAUCCUGCGGAAAGCUUCACCCAGGCUCAAAGAGACGGACGGAUAUUUUCAAGACCCAAGGCUUACCUGCACAGCCACAAGUCAUUAUGGGCUCUGGCUUGGUUGGACAACGCGGCGACUCUGGACAGGCGGUGCUAGCAGAUGUAGAAGAAUGGUAUGAAUGGAUGGGCACCGACAGGGAUUCAGAGGGACCCGUUGAAAGACCAUGUUUUGAUCAUCCGGUCUUCAAACACCCUGAAGUGYGAGGACAUACACGGAGGCGAUCAAAUCUUGUGGGGAACGUGUGCAAAACUCUACAGAGUACUCAAACCUAAUCGAUUAGCCGUGUCCACGGUCAUGGACAACUUGAGCCAAAGGAACUGAAGUUAUCUGGAUUUCUCAACACCAUUAUAUAUAUUUGAUGAGGGUAAUUAUUGACAACUCGGGUACGAGAACUGGUUGGCGGAACCAUCUCGUUAACAACCAACCUUGUAGUAAUAUUUUUCUUUUAGCCCUCUUGAUGUUGGAGAAAACUUGCUUUUCGCUAAAAAACUUAUAGCCCCAGCUGCCAUAAAUGCAUAUAGUAUAGAUGAUUACUUUUCACCCCUCUCUUAUGKGACUUGCCAGCAUAUUCAAUAUGCUGACCUACACGGCURCAACAUCUUAUGUUGCAGAUAUUUUUCUUCGAUGAGUAAGAGUACGAUUCAGGGUUACGGUCAACCCUCAACUUGCCGUUGGUGUUUAUUGGGACUCCACUCCCUUGACUGCUUCCGCUGAGAUAUUUAAGGUAUACAUCAGUUUUACGCUAUUUACAUGUGAUUGCACUUUGAUAUAUACAUUGAUGUACUCUGUGUGCCAGCAUACUGAUCCACGGAUGGCACAGAAACACAGAGGCUUGACUCGUCUUGAGUCGGGUCGCUACUGAAAUGGUAUCAGAGCACAUAUUGACUGUAGGACGUGACCCUAGAAACUAGAAAUUUCUUAGGAAAGGAUCUCUCAAAAAUUUUAUUUUCAACAACACCUUUUACUUCUCAUCUCUUCUGAUUUCAUCGAAUGUUCCCUCUCACCUCAAAUAGUUAGACAAUACCCUUACCCCUUUGACCUCAUGAAUAAUCAACGGAGUUCUACUUCAAAUUAAAGAGGAUUUCCUCAUGCAAUUGAAGCUACACCAAUUGAAGACUCUCAAGACCCGAAGAACUUGAAGACCCCGAAACGUUCGAAUAUUUAUAUGACCAUUAGAAGUCCAAACCCCUGUUAUAUACCCACGUUAGAUACGAUGAUUUGUGAGCCGUCAUUGGUGUGUGUUUUUCGAUAGCCACAAAUAAAACCCAUUCUCAAAAAUAUUGUUUGUAUUGUGUGUAUCUCCCUCCCUCUCUUACCCGUCUCAUCCCCAAAACCUCAACCCUACCAGAUGGAGUAUGAAGCUGGACUUGUAGUCUCUGGACCAAUGACCCAGCUAGAGGCUGAAAUAUGGACUCAGAACAUGGAGAACCACUUCGGGAGCAACUUGAUCUCAAGGAAGUAUGAAGUGGAACACGCUCUCUAGUACUUUACCCAAAGUGCUGCAAUCUGGUGGAAAAUGCACCAUGCCAUACAAGGAUUUAGUGGAGCAGAAACCUGGGACGAAUUCAAGAACACCCUGUUAAGAUCCCGUCUCAUUCGGAAGUGCUAUGAUAAUCCGAAGGAGAAGACUUGUGCAUGCAAGAUCUAUGGAGAAAUAGGACACACCCAGGAAGAACACAAGGAUCGAUGCACUCAUUGUGAAGAAAAUCACCCAGCUGAGGAGUGCCCAAGUAGUCAGGUGACUUGUUUCCUUUGUGAAGGAACCACCCACUACCCAGCUCAGUGUCACAUUUACCCCAAGGUGCAACAGGUUGUCAAGCAGCAGAAAGAUGCAGUGAAGGAACCCCUCAAGAAGAAGAUUCUAGAAGAACCGAUGAUGAACGAAAAUAUUGAAGACCCUGAUGGACAAGGUCUGACCAGAUUUUUCUCCAAUGCAUGUUACUCAUGUGGAGAAGAAGGACAUUAUUCACAGGAUUGCACGAAGGAAAGCCAAGAGUAGCUGGGAAACUUCCCGACGGAAGAAGUGGAGUUUGAUCCACUUGAAAUAGAAGAACUGGCCAAAAUAAAGGAGUCCAGAAAGAAGAAAAAGUACCCUCGGAAGAACCAAAUCUCUGCAGACAUAGACCUGAGUCAUGUCAGAUGUUACAAGUGUAUGAAAUUUGGCCACCACAAAUACAUGUGCUCAGGAAGGAAGCCGGAAAUCCAAGGAGCAAAAGAAAAAGCUAAGAGGCCUCGAGACUUGUCAGAACUCAUUUGCUUUCGUUGCAAGGAAGCAGGACAUUUUGCUAGCGAUUGUCCACAAAGGAAGAAAGCUAAGAAGGAGUAGUUAAGUUUUGACCGCGGCACUUAGUGUAAUAUGAAUAACUCUUGUUUUUCAUGAGAUCAUGGAGUGAAAUUUUGUAAAGAAGUCCCUGAGAUUGUAAUAACAUCAUGAAUAAAUGGAAUUUAUUGUCUCAUGAUUGCCUAUGUUGAAACUGUAUGCGUUGUUUCUCUGCGAACAAAGAUCUCUGAACAUUUAUGAGGAUAUGAGAAAAUAUGGUCUAUGCAUGCAUGAGUAUUAUUCAUUUUAAGUGUGGUAGUAAUCGGUAAACCCACAGGAUCCACUGAGUAGGAAUGUACCAUGAUUACCAAGGAGACACAUACAUUCCUCUGAGUACCUAUUUACUGACACCUACAGAUGACACCUCUCUACGAGUCAUUCCUCAAGGGCCCAGAAACGAUCAUGACCCUGACCAGUGACCAUGAUUACCCGAAAAUCCUGAAGGACAUGAUGAAGCACAUUCACCUUGAAGGAGAUGCAGUCUACAAAGGCUACCCAUUUAUGGAAAAUUGAGUGGAACUUUGGUACGUGGAAGUACACCUCCACCAUGUGAAAGGAGUUUGUCCAAAGACUAUGGGGAAAUACUUUUUCAUUUCACGUGUACCGCGAGCAACCUUCUUUGAUGCUGUUCGUGAAGCUGCCAUGGAAGCCAUACGUCAGAUUGGAGAAAUACUUGAAGCAAGACUCCGUCAUACCCAGGAAUACCUGAGUGAGGUACGUGCGUAGAUGAUGGAGAUGAAGCUCAUGACCACCAUGAUGAAGCGAAAGAUGGAUGAUUUCAAGGAGUACCUCGGAAAGUUCGAGUGGAAGUACCUCCAAGAGAGACAGAUGAAUAAAGUUGGCAGAAAUGCUUGACCAUACCGAACAAUGUGGAUGGCAGCAUUUGUAAUAAAUUACUUUUGAGUUAGAAUUUUGAAGAAAGCAAGGAUGUAAUAAAGGAUAGAUUAUGUAAUGAAUAUGAUUUAUGGAAGAAGCUAUGAUGGAUCAGCAAACGUUUUCUUAGGAGCAUACGAAAGCCAGAGAGUUGUGGAGAUACGAUAGAUGUUUCGUUCAGCUUGCAGAACCAAUGGUUUAUCCGAACUUCGUUCGUGGACAAGAGAAACUCUGCAACGCUUGUGAGGAUGCCCAAGUGUUAGAAUGCGAGAUUCGCUAAACCUUAUACAGAGAAAUGAUUUGGGUGCGGAAUGGAUCGAUCACCAUGACGACUUACUCUUAUCAUUUAUCUUGCUAUUCAGAAUGGUAAAUCUGAGAGACUUACCCAUAUAGAGAGAUGACGUUCUUUGAAGCUUUUGUUUAAGACUUAGAGUGGUAUAAGAAAAGCCCAUGCACAUGGCACUUGUUGACACGCGUAGGAAAUUUUACGAUGAGAAUGAAACCAAGACCCCACUCUCUGCAAGAUAACCACAAAUGGUAUACCACCAUGAGAACCAUCGAUAUGUUAUUUAGAAUUGACCGCGAGACUGUCAGUUAAGAAGACCCAGUAAAGGAAGAAGCUUAUAUCAACGGAAGAACUCUCGAUUUUGAUGGAAAACGUUAUGAAUGUAACGAAAGAGCUUCACCAGAGGAGUUAGUAUGAAGACUGUGAGGAGUCAGAUGCCAAAACCCCACCGGAUUGUCAAAAAUCUUAUGGGACAAGUAAUCUUCAUUUUAAGUGUAGUAGCAUCCCACUUUGCUGGAAGUUGGAUUUGUUAGAAGACCCCCAAACCCUAACGUUUCUUUCUAGCCUCUUCGAAUCUCGAGGACGAGAUUCAUUUUAAGUGUGGUAGGUUUGUAACAUCCCAAAUUUUGGAAUGUUAAAAUAAUUAUUAGAUUGUUUGUUUGUUUGCUUGAGUGAUUGAAACUUGUGUGAAAUUUGAAACUUUUCAAAAACUUUUGAAUGAUAGGGAAUAAAAUGACUUUCCCCAUCUCUGAUGAAUUCAAAUUCAAUCUUUUAAAAGAAAAGAGAGAAGAUGACAUGACUUCUUCAACUAUAAAGAAUUUGAACGGAGUUUGCAUUUGAAUCCUUUCAAAUUAUUUGCCCUUGCUUCUAUAUUUUUCUUCCCCGAGAAAAUGCCCCGACAAAAUUCUUGCACGCAUGAAAGAGCGGAGGAAAAUGACCCUCCAAAAACCAGGGCCAUUGAUUGAAAUAUUUUGAGCCAAGAAAAAACCAAAAUUUAAUUUGAGAAAAUAAUUGCAAAAAUAAAUAAUGCUUUUAGGGAUUUUUUGGAAAAACAUUUUUUUAAGUUUUCAUUUUGGCCGUUGAAAAAUGCCCAUCAUUUAGAUUUUAUUUUUCUGAUAAUUUUAGUAUAUAGAAACCUUAUAUUCCGAAUUGAUUUGAUUUGCCUUUUAUCGUUUUAGUUUCCUAGUUUUGAAAAAGGAAAGAAAUCGUGUUUAAAUGGAAAUAAACGGUCGCCCAUUAAAACCUUUCCAAAAACUGGCCCAACAGGAUCUUCUUCUUCCUCUAUCUCCUUCCUCACGUGCAUAGGACCUUCCUUAGCCAUGGACAGAGAAAUCCUCACUUCCGGAAUUCGCGAAGUUCUUUCCCUCCUAGCCUCUCCCGUCGCCCCUAUAAGAAGGCCCCGGUCCUCCUCGUUCCAUUCCCGUUGGAAUCGCCGCCUCUCCCCACCUCCUCCCCCCCCCCUGUGGACCUCGGCGGAGUCGGCCACAGGAACUCGCCGGCGACCUUCCCCAUCGCCCCUGCACCCCCUCCCCACCCCACCGACUUUCCCCAUCGCCCCUGCACCUCCUCCACCACCCCACCCCGUCGCCCCCCUGCAUCCCUCCCCAUCCCCACCGAGCUCCCUGCCAGGAGUUCCCCG
rnacentral:lncRNA from 1 species